rnacentral:rRNA from 1 species
GAUGAACGCUGGCGGCGUGCUUAACACAUUCAAGUCGAACGAAGCACUGAAGAUGAGACCUUCGGGUGGAUUCUUCUUUGACUGAGUGGCGGACGGGUGAGUAACGCGUGAGCAACCUGCCUUUGUGAGGGGAAUAACGUUGGGAAACCGGCGCUAAUACCGCAUAAUGCAUUUCUGGGACAUCCCUAAAAUGCCAAAGAUUUAUCGCUGAAAGAUGGUCUCGCGUCUGAUUAGCUAGUUGGUGAGGUAAACGGGCCCCACCAAGGCGACGAUCAGUAGCCGGUCUGAGAGGAUGAACGGCCACAUUGGGACUGAGAUACGGCCCAGACUCCUACGGGAGGCAGCAGUGGGGAAUAUUGGGCAAUGGGGGAAACCCUGACCCAGCAACGCCGCGUGAAGGAAGAAGGCCUUCGGGUUGUAAACUUCUUUUACCAGGGACGAACACAAUGACGGUACCUGGAGAAAAGCAACGGCUAACUACGUG